GUUUGGUAUGCCUCACACCAUUCUGCUGACCCGAAAAAUAGCAGCCGGGUUUCAGGCUUUCACAUACUGCUAUCGGCGCAUUUGUGUCAACUCUAUCAAGCUGAAAUUUGGUCAUCGUUGGUGUGCAAAUUGACAUUCGUCGGUGUCAGGCUCUUUUCAAUUCCGGUACCUUAGGAUUACCUUCAUCUGGAAUGGAAGAUCCAAGGCAGAGAAAGCGAAAGGAGGUGGAGGUCGCGGUAGUCAUGAUUGAGGACAUUAUCCGUGACUAUCAACAAAACUACUUGACCAUUUUAAAUAUGGUUAGCAGCUUGUUAUACAAUUCGAACAACACUCGGGAUGAGGAAACACCGGCCUCUUACAGCAUGUCAGACAAAAUGCCAGCUCAAGUCUCACAUAUGAACCGGCUUACUGGGGUGACUGACGUGGACUGCAUCAACAAUCGGCGUAUGGACCGCAAUGCAUUUGGGCGCCUAUGUCGCAUUCUUCGUGAUAUGUGUGGAUUAGUUGAUCAAAGGUAUGUUCUCGUGGAGGAGCAGGUUGCAAUGUUCCUUAGCACUCUAGCUCAUCACACAAAAUCGUGUGAUUGGGUUCCAAUUUCUUCGGUCAAAACAUACUGUGAGUUGCUACAUCCAUGAGGUUAUGUGCGGCGUUAUUCAUCUGCACCUAACCCUAUUCGUGCAAUUGUCUCCGGUUGAUGACAACUGUGACGAUCCAAGAUGGAAAUGGUUUAAGGUUUCUUCGGCUUGUGUACAUUCUACCGGGAUGAGAGGGGUCCGUUGCAGAUUCAAGGGUUCUGAGGGAUGUUGUUACUCGACCCAAUGGUCUCAAAGU